rnacentral:lncRNA from 1 species
UCAUGUACCUGCUGAAGGUCCUUGCUGCCCUGCCCACCUGGCACCUUCCAUCAGCUGAUCUGUGAUACAUGGAACAGUAGAAAGCUGACAUGCUUUGGUUACCAUGUGGCUUCCAGAUAUUUUUGUAGGUCUCUGAACUCCAGGAACGUGAUAAGAGAAUAUUGGUUGGAUAUAUUUCCAGGAGAACCCCAUAUGGCAUCUUCCAGCUCCCAGGUUGAGAACACAUUUGUCUCAGGCCAUUUUAACACAGCAGUCAAGAAAGACAAGGAAGUACCAGAGAGUCCAUCAGAGGGCUAUAGAGAUGAUCAGGUGUCUCCAGGUUGGGCUUGGUUAGCAUUUUGCAUGUAAAUUACCCUCUGUCUGUACACUUUUUGAGGUAACACUGAUGGUCUUGCUGUUUGUUUUCUUAUCUCAU